rnacentral:rRNA from 1 species
AUGGGGAUGCGGCUGGAGGAGCUCGCGGCCAGGUUGGCGACCAAGGACCCAGGCGUCGUCGGCGGACCAGGAGGAGGAGGAGGACGCGGGGUGGGGGAGCUCCUCUACCUCCGCCUGGGCAUAGUGUCGGGGCCGUCGGGGCGCUGGCCGAGCCCGGCUAAUAAAGAGAAUUGGGUUUCUGUCGUACGUCGUCGUGCGCGAUUUUGCACAACAGUCCCUCGGAGUUGCCAUGAGAAUCAACAAGCCACAUUAGAAAUCAAAACAAGCAGAGAAAGGGAACAGAAGGAAUCGCCAAAGCGUGAAGGAGCAAAGAAAAUGGAACAGAGUCCACCGAGCGAACACCACCACCACCGGUGCCCCUCGCUCUACGGAGGAUUUCCAAAAAGUGGGAGUUGUUUGAGGCCUAGAGCUGGGGGCGAAGAAGGAGAAGGCCGGGUCGAGGCGGCUGGGCUGACUGACACAGCAGGUAGCCCGCGGCUGGACAAGGCGCGCCCUGGCCUCCUCGCAAGCUGCGAGCAAAAGAAACAGCGGGGCUAA